AUUGAACGCUGGCGGCAUGCCUUACACAUGCAAGUCGAACGGUAGAGGGGGCAACCCCUUGAGAGUGGCGAACGGGUGAGUAAUGCAUCGGAACGUGCCCAGUUGUGGGGGAUAACGUAGCGAAAGCUACGCUAAUACCGCAUACGACCUGAGGGUGAAAGCGGGGGACUCGAAAGAGCCUCGCGCGGUUGGAGCGGCCGAUGUCAGAUUAGCUAGUUGGUGGGGUAAAGGCCCACCAAGGCGACGAUCUGGAGCUGGUCUGAGAGGACGACCAGCCACAAGGGGACUAGGACACGGCCCAGACUCCUCCGGGAGGCAGCAGUGGGGAAUUUUGGACAAUGGACGAAAGUCUGAUACAGCCAUGCCGCGUGCGGGAAGAAGGCCUUCGGGUUGUAAACCGCUUUUGUCAGGGAAGAAAUCUUCUGGGUUAAUACCUCGGGAGGAUGACGGUACCUGAAGAAUAAGCACCGGCUAACUACGUGCCAGCCGCCGCAGUAAGAC
rnacentral:rRNA from 1 species